rnacentral:lncRNA from 1 species
UCCAGAUCCUCCCUGUACAAUGCAAUCUGAAAAUUUGUUGUGUUCACAUACAAAUCAAUAUCUCAAAUGUGCUACAUAUAUACACACUGUUAUUGUAGAUUUUUGGCUCGAAUCGGAUAAGCUGGAUUUGGUCAGCGACCACAGGAUGGUGACGGUCAGAUCUGUAAAAUAAGUCUCUGGUUGGAGUUGGUUCUAAUGAGAAUAUCUAAUAUUCAAGUCAGAAGUUUGGAACAGAUAGGAAGGAGCGAGCAUGAGAGAAGAGAUUGCAUAUCUUGGGAUCCUUUG